AAGGAAAGAGAGCCGCGGGGCCGAGGGGCCACGCGUGUUUUGCUGUGCGUGCUGGUGAGCCCUUUCUUCCUUUCCCUCCGACUUGGCGAUGAGCAGACAUCCACGCGUGCAUCUCUAUCUAUAUACACACAUGUUUGCAAAUGCGCGCGAAGAACAAGUAGUACAGCGCCACGAGCUCGCAGAACCUGAAAAGGGCAUCGAUCCCGCUUCGACGGUCGCGGGGUUCUCAAGCGACGGACACACGUGAGGCACGCAACGAGACGGAGAGCGACAGGCAAAGCGAAAAAAAGGACGUGCGUGGGUGCUGCGAGGCAUCAGGAGCGUGACGCUGCUCCCCCUUUUUUCUCUUCGGUAUUGCUGUGCGUGUCAUGCGUGCAUCGGUGUAAGAGGCGAGUAAGGGGUCGGGAAGGUGCUGUUGGUCUCCUUUCCCCUUACCCAUGCACCUAGCCCUUGCGCCUCACCCCCCCCCCCCCCCCCCCCAUUUACUCGUCGCGGUUGAGUUCUUGUGCCCUUUCCUCAUGCCCCCCCCCCCCCCCCCACACACACACACACACGAUCAUGCUUGUGUGCCUGGGUAGGCGUGUGCCCCUUCUGCUUUGCGGCGCUUCCGCUUGUGACACAUCGUCGUUGUCUUUUGCAUAUAUAUACGUUUGCUUGGUUGAAGCGUGCAUUGCAUGCAUCUUUUCUUUGCAAGCAGCGCUGCAGCCGUUGAAUCCCCCCUUAGCUGCAGCUCUGCCCCUUCCGCUUCCCCUUCUUCUUUUCUCCUGCCCUCCUCCCCCUCCUCCUCUCCCCAACCGUAUCUUCCAUGGGACUGUUCUCCCUACAUUCUUCAGAGGGAGGCGAAGACGUUGAUGUCUUCUGCCUUCUCUCGGUUCGGAGCACACCUCCGCCGCACUUUGCGGCCGUUGUCGCCUGGCCGCUUCCGCAGCCCUGCUACGCACGUCUGGACACCGUAAUGCUCUUUCUUUCUCUCUCUCAUGAGCUGCUCUUCUUCCUAGGUGCCCUUACCAUGUCGAGUGUCUCUCCAAGAGGUGACAGGACAUCGGAGGGAGAGUGCGUGCUGCUUCCGUUGCUCAUCUAGCGGCUAAGAAGUCUACUAGAAGGGGCGCGCACCAAGUGCGUGUGUGUGUGCCACGGAAGGGGGCCUUUCAGAAAGCUUCACGGCACGCUGUGCAGUGGGCGUAGAACGAAGAAGACGGUGGUGGGAGAGAAAGCGCGUGGACAAGCCAUACCAGCUACCCCCUCCGUUUUACUUUCAGUGCCAUCCUUCAUGCUGCUGCUACCCGUACCCCCUCUCCCUGCCCCGCCUCCUUCUCUCUUCGCUGCCUCCAUGCUGCAUGAAGAGCGAACCGAUGCACAGAAGAGAGAGAGAACAUACACGACGGAGAAGGCCGCGCGGUGUGCUGGCUCGUCAGCGAUACGCAGCACAGG
rnacentral:misc_RNA from 1 species